rnacentral:rRNA from 1 species
UACGGAGGGUGCAAGCGUUAAUCGGAAUUAUUGGGCGUAAAGGGCGCGUAGGCUGUUAGAAAAGUCUGGUGUGAAAUACCGUGGCUCAACCACGGUGCUGCAUCGGAAACUAUUUGACUUGAGGGUAGGCGGAGAAAACGGAAUUCCAAGUGUAGCGGUGAAAUGCGUAGAUAUUUGGAAGAACACCGGUGGCGAAAGCGGUUUUCUAGCUUAUUCCUGACGCUGAGGCGCGAGAGCAAGGGGAGCAAACAGG